AUCCUCUCAGGAUCGCACCUGGAGAGUUUCCAAUACUCUAGCAGUUUCCGUUACAGGAGGGAGAGUCAGGAAGAAACUCUCUUCCAUUCCUAGCUUGGGCAGUAGCUAGUGAAUGGAAGGCAAUCUGCUACAAGU